UACGAAGGGGGCUAGCGUUGUUCGGAAUCACUGGGCGUAAAGGGCGCGUAGGCGGCCGAUCAAGUCGGGGGUGAAAGCCUGUGGCUCAACCACAGAAUGGCCUCGAUACUGGUUGGCUCGAGACCGGAAGAGGUGAGUGGAACUGCGAGUGUAGAGGUGAAAUUCGUAGAUAUUCGCAAGAACACCAGUGGCGAAGGCGGCUCACUGGUCCGGUUCUGGACGCGUGAGGCGCGAAAGCGUGGGGAGCAAACAGG
rnacentral:rRNA from 1 species